AUUUUACAGUAGGCUAUGUAUACAAUAUAUUAAUUAUAGGCUAAAAAAUAAUAAAGUUUAGUUUAGAUUAAAUUAAAUUAAAAUAUUAUUCACCAAAUAUUAAUUGAUUUGAAGAAGUAUUAGCUAUUAAUAAAUAAAUAAAUGAAUAAAUAAAACUUUAGCUAGGGCUAGGCUUUAUGUCAUAAGGUCCCGGAACUGCAGUUGUUGCUAAUGGCGCCAUAUGAUAAACACCUCUACACAUGUGCCUAGCGGAGAUGUUGUGCGUUUAUGCAAAAUAUGACAUGGUUUAACCAGCAGUGGAGAGAGUCAUGAAGGAGAAUCACCAAAUAACACCGAUAAUGAAGGGUGUCUCUGGGUGGAGUUGGCCUUAUUGGCACAUCUGGCAUGGGAAGCUCUUCACAUCUUGAUGGCAUCUUUAUUGAUUGAUUGAAGGUUCAUACCUUCAUCAGAGCUGCUGAGACACACUGGUCGUCUUUUCCUUUUGGGGGAGUCAUCACAGCUCUCAAGUGAAGAUUGCACAGCUGCUUUUUUCGACCACUUUUUAGCUCUUUCAUAGUCAUCUGAAGCAAAAAUAUGGCACCAAUCAAAAAUGUCAUGCAUGGGCUGUCGAACAGUGGCUCAGGUUUACUGUAAACAUGGCAAAGCACUCUUUGUUCUUUGUCAGCCAAUUGCAGGACUUCACAGCAUUGCCCACCGCUGAGGACAUAUGCACUGUCUUGGGUCUUGGUAGAGAUUUUGUCUACAGUUGUUGUUUUUUUCUGUUCGAUUUUCUCUUCCAGCCUCCUAGCAACCUGAAUCAGUGGGUUUCUACCAGAACGCACCAUCCUCUUGAGUGUCUGCAGGUAGUUUUCAAACAUGAAGGCACUACAAUUUUCCAGACCACCGAAGUUUUCAGCAUCUUUUGCUAUGUGCAGCAUUGCACGUGUGUUGUAAACGAGGAAUUCUUGUCCAUAAAGAUUCCGACCUUUUUCCACAAAAUAAUGCAGCAGUUCAUCUGCAUAUUUCGAGUGGUCCUGCACAAGACUUGGACAUACCAAAAUUAUCAUGGCUAUGCUAAAGGAAAGGAAGUGCAAAUACAUUUCAUCAGGCAGUAUACCCUUCAACACAAUCUUCCCAGUGUAAAGAAGGAACUGACGAAACUCAGUUGCUUUCCACCUGUCCAGUUCCUCAAGACCUCUAGGCUUUCGCACAAAAGUAGAUGGGAUGCAUUUCCGAAGAGACCGCAGUCUUGCACUAAUCUCUGUGAUUUGGCUUGCUGAAACCCUCACAACUCUGUCUCCUCUGGUCCAGAUGUGCAGGAGUCUUUUCAUUACACCUAGACAAGCCUGGUGCAUGUAAUCAAUGGGAAAACUCUGCACCAUGUCUAUGGGGAGGUGAGACAGAGUGAAUCCCAUGAUUCAUCAGAUGAGCCAGUUCCCUUACUGUGUCUUCCAAAAAGCCAAGAUCUGUUGGUCGACUCACACCGCUUGUCAGAGCCGUGGGGAAAAUGGUGACUGGGUCUAACAUGACUGCACAAAGAACUGGCCACAUACAUGUUUUGGAACUCUUGUACAGUGGUAAGCCAUCAAUGUUGAAUGAUAAAUCAAGACAUUGGAGUUCUGCUAGAUCAGGAGGGUAAUUUUCUAGUGCUGUUUGUAAUUUCUCUGUUAGUGGAAAGUAAACGUAUUCCAUUCCAGAUAAUUGCUUUAUGUCAAGUUGCCGGGGAAUGUGCAAGAGAGUCCGGGCAGUCGAGGGUAAUUCAUUGUGUCCAUGCCUUUGUAGCAAUUUGAGCAGGUUGUCAAGUGCAUUAUGUUUUAUCUGGUAUUCACUGGCCCACGUGGACAGUUCUUUUGCCAGCGACAUGUCCCUACUGUCAUCUUCUGCUUGUUCUUCAAGGUCAGAAGCAGAGGAUACAUUCAAACUGUUAAUACCCUCCCAUGUCGCUGCUCUUGACUGUUCUUCCACAUUUGCAGAAUGCAAAUAGGGUUCAUUGUCAGAUGAACACUCUCCACAAAUCAUCUCCAUGUCAACAUCCUUUUGUGAUUGUUCUUCAAGUGGAAGAUCAAGUGAUUGUACUUCAGCUGGUAGAUUACUCUCCAGGUGAGAUGGAGAUCUGGUCAGAGCCUGCCUUGUUGUUCUCCAAGCAUGAACAUAUUUCCUGUGCAUCUCUCUCUUUUCAGAGCUCAUUCUAAGAGACAGUUGAAGUGUUUAUAUUUAUAGGAUUUUAAUCAGGAAGGAAAAAUGUCAAAUUUCUCCCUCAGAUCAGAACUAUUAAUUUCUAUCUAUUCGGUUGUUAAGUGAUGACGUAAGAAGUGCUGCUUUCCGGAUCCAAGUCUUGAUUCACUUCACUUGAGAAUACGACCUCAGCAGCCGUUUAUGAGCACUGUUUAUUUAUAUUUAUCAAGCUAAACCCUUUUAAACUUACGGUGGACACUACAGUAUCUGUGCUCACAGCGUUCCAAACAUAAAUAAUUUGUAUAUUAUACAAACACUUAUUUUCAUUGUCUGGCUAUCAUGGACUUCAGUAUGGAGUUCAAGGUUAGGAUUAUAACAUUUUCGCUAGUAUUAUACUAUAUUUGUGAGUUUAUAUUAGCACCUUUUGUUGUUUUCUCAUGGCAUCUAAUAGAGCGUUUGGAUACGGAAGCGGUGACACGUGACGUCAGACUUAACAAGCGAAUAGUAAAUAAGUGUCAAGAAGAGUGGGAUACAUGUACAAAUAAUAACACUCCAAUCAGCUAAUCAACUCAAAACACCUGCAAAGGUUUCCUGAGCCUUCAAAAUGGUCUCUCAGUUUGGUUUACUAGGCUAUACAAUCAUGGGGAAGAGUGCUGAUCUGAUAGUUGUCCAGAAGACAAUUAAAUAUAUAUAUAUAUAUAUAUAUAUAUAUCAAGAUACAGGUGUUGGUUUUCCUGCUGGGCAUCACUGCCUGACGCACCUCCUCCGGUGCCUUUUGAACUUGUGUGUCAUGGCACCUCACUGAACACUUUUGUGAGCCUGAGCGGGUCGUCAGCUGGGGACCACCACUCAUCGACGUUUCGCUCCUUUAACCCCAGUACGUCUCGUGGUGGCGGAGCGAUGGCAGGGAUCUCUCCCUGCCACCCCCUGCUGAUGCCCUAGGUGUUUGCCCCCCAAACCUUCUCCUUCCUCCUUAGCCACAGCCAGAAGCUGCCUUUCUCUGCCUCCUCUGCCAGCUCUUUCAUGGCUUUCCGAUGCCUUGCUCCUGUGCAUCCCAUGUCGCGGAGUAGGCGAGCGGUUGAGGAACCUACAAAGCCCCUACACCCCACUUCCACAGGGCAGAUAACGGCUUUCCAGCCCGCCUCCCUGCACUCUGCCGCCAGAUCAGAGUACUUGGCUCGCUUCCGCUCAUACGCGGCCUCCACCCCCCCACCCCCCUCCCAUGGUACAGUGAGUUCCACGAGGAGGACGGUCUUGCAAGUCUCUGACCACAUUAUGAUGUCGGGCCGCAGGGAUGUUUCCACUAUUUCCCUGGGGAACUGGAGCUGCCUUCCCAAGUCGACCCUCAUAGUCCACUCACUUCCCGGUGAGAGGAGCCUUGCUGUGUCUCUCUGGCGGGAGGGUCUGAUGCUCUCUCCAGCCCUCGCGAACUGGAUGGCAUGCCAACCUCGAGCGGAAGGUCUACUAUUCGCCUCCUUUCUGCAUGACUCUGACACCUCUGCCAGCUUUUUCAGUACUUGGUCAUGUCGCCACCUAUAGCGGCCUUGGGACAAUGCCGUCGUGCAGCCCGACAGGAUGUGCUGGAGGCUUGCGUUGCUGGUGUUACAAAGGGAACAUGUCUCUUCGGCUAUAUAUAUAUAUAUAUAUAUAUAUACUACUGCUAUAUUUAAAGGACCAAAGACAUUUUAUUGGUAAGAUUUAUUUUAACAUUCUUUUUGCUUUAACUUUAUCAACUUUAAUGUCAGUAAAAUUAAUAUCAAGCUUAUUUUCCUCAAAUUGUAAGUGUACUGAUUGACAGUUAUGAAGUAAAGUUUAAAAACUUUUUUUUGUGAUCUUUCAACACUAAGGACAAAUCCCCUGCAAGGUACAUGUACUUCCCAAAGUAUAAUGUAUGUAAUAUAUAACUUGAUUAGUUUUGAUUAAACUAAUUAAAUAGAACUUAAAUGUAAACUUUGCAAAUAUCUUACCUUUAAGUGUCGAAGGCGAAAUGAGAGAACUGUAGUGGACAAAAACAUUAAAAAAAUAAAAUAAAUCAACAUUAAUGCCUUGUUAAUCUUAGGGAAGUAGGCACUUACAAUGCAUAUUCAUUGAUAAAAUAUUACUUGGCUAUGUAAUUUACAGUUCAAAGGAACUUAAAUUGCAAAUAUCAAACUUGAUCACCUUUAAAUGAAGCUAAGGAUCAUUACUUGCCUUGACAAUAAAGAUUGUAAGAACAAAAAUCAGAGGCGGCAGUAGAUGUUGCAAAAUUUAAUAAUAGAAAAGAUGAUAUAUUACUCACAAUUACUAAACACAACAAUACAGCCAAUUUUGCAUGUUUAAAUCAUAUUAAUAUUGAAGAUAUCUGUGAAAUUAUGCUAUAAGAAUUUGUUUGACAUUUAAAACAGGAAAGGAUGUCAAUGAUCUGUUUCCAGAUAUCCGUGUAUCUGAUCUGCAAGUAAUUUUUACCGUCAUUUAGUUUGGGAUUGGCCUGGUUUAGGCAAGUAAAUGACUGACAUUGUUUUAAUGUAUGGAUAAGACAGGUGUAUAUACAGAUAUGUUCAUAUAUAGAAUACUUUCAAAUUCAAAUACUACUUUAUUCACUAAAUACUAAUCAGAGCUGCACUGUAAAUGCAAACAUGCUAUUUAAUUAAAAAUAUUAAUUUGACUUUAAUCAUUUUUUAUCAACCUGCUAUUUACACUUGCUUUUAGUAAGUUACUUGUACUUUGAGGUUGAAAAAUCUUACCAGCUCAGUUUACUUGAGUUAGAUUAAUUUAGAAAAAGUAAGUUUAUGAUCUGUGGGCAUGCGCAGAUCAGUCCUCUCUACGCUAGACGGCGAUAUUUGUUCACCACUAUGGCCCCGCCCUUCAAUAUCUACUAUUGGCCAGGCGUCCAUGCUUAUGUACCUGAUUUGUACAGGUCAUAUCCCCUGACCAACCUUAACCAAUCCAGGUGAAUUGCCUAACCCCAACCAAUCAAGCUGCUUCGGCGGGUCUUGGCGUGGCGGGAUUUGUAAUUUUGCAGACAUGUCACAUCGUGCCUGCAACUGACCAGGUGGAGCUGGACCUAAACAUCGCUUCAACUGGGCUUUUGUUUAUCUUCAUCAUAACAGCGAUUCUUGUGCUUGGCACACUCAUUUGGCUCAAGCAGAUGGUGAUCAAUCCACACAUAGGUACUCCCAGCAGUAAAAGAUACUGUGGGUUCGACUUAUAGCCCAUCAAGAUGAUGACUUCAGCAGUGUUGCACAAGCACUGAUCAGAAAAUACCCCUGCCUCGCUGAGCCUGGACCACACAAAUGGUAUGGCUGGAUAAACAGCCUUAAAUUUAAGAUGGCCAAUUAUCGCACAAAGUUUCGAAAAGCUGGAUGUGAGGAUGUAGCAAUCCUGGUUGAAA